AACAGACUAGUAGUGUCAUCUGAUAGGGAACAGACUAGUAGUGUCAUCUGAUAGGGAACAGACUAGUAGUGUCAUCUGAUAGGGAACAGACUAGUAGUGUCAUCUGAUAGGGAACAGACUAGUAGUGUCAUCUGAUAGGGAACAGACUAGUAGUGUCAUCUGAUAGGGAACAGACUAGUAGUGUCGGAAGGUCAUCUGAUAGGGAACAGACUAGUAGUGUCAGAAGGUCAUCUGAUAGGGAACAGACUAGUAGUGUCAGAAGGUCAUCUGAUAGGAAACAGACUAGUAGUGUCAGAAGGUCAUCUGAUAGGGAACAGACUAGUAGUGUCAGAAGGUCAUCUGAUAGGGAACAGACUAGUAGUGUCGGAAGGUCAUCUGAUAGGGAACAGACUAGUAGUGUCGGAAGGUCAUCUGAUAGGGAACAGACUAGUAGUGUUGGAAGGUCAUCUGAUAGGGAACAGACUAGUAGUGUUGGAAGGUCAUCUGAUAGGGAACAGACUAGUAGUGUUGGAAGGUCAUCUGAUAGGGAACAGACUAGUAGUGUCUGAAGGUGGGUGAGAUUGUUGUCAUCUGAUAGGAAACAGACUAGUAGUGUCAGAAGGUCAUCUGAUAGGGAACAGACUAGUAGUGUCAGAAGGUCAUCUGAUAGGAAACAGACUAGUAGUGUCAUCUGAUAGGGAACAGACUAGUAGUGUCAGAAGGUCAUCUGAUAGGGAACAGACUAGUAGUGUCAGAAGGUCAUCUGAUAGGGAACAGACUAGUAGUGUCAGAAG